UUCAAAGGUUACCAGUUUAUUGGACCCAAUGUGCUGGUAUUGUACAGAGUGGAGACACACACUCAGCACAUUAAGUCAGCAAACAUGACAUCUGGUGUGGUUGGUUUAUUCAUGUUGUCACUGCUGCUCCCUGGAAUAGAUGCUGCUUUCUUGAAUGCUGACACACAACAGCUGUGCUCCUACUUAUGUAAUAUAAACCAAUGUCCAGACAGUUGCAGAAUGCAAGUUGGUGUGAAGUGGUCACGAAGAUCUCUCAACUCAGUUCUUCACUUCAAGAG
rnacentral:lncRNA from 1 species